rnacentral:rRNA from 1 species
AGUCACUGACAUUAGAUACCCGGGUAGUCCAGGGUGUAAACGCUGCAGACUUGGUGUUGGAAGUCCUUUGGGGGCAUUCAGUGCCGGAGAGAAGUUGUUAAGUCUGCUACUUGGGAAGUACGGUCGCAAGGCUGAAACUUAAAGGAAUUGGCGGGGAGCACCACAACGGGUGGAGCCUGCGGUUUAAUUGGACUCAACGCCGGAAAUCUCACCGGAUAGGACAGACAUAUGAUAGUCGGGCUGAAGACUCUACUUGAUGAUCUG